GGGGACUUAGCUCAGUGGUAGAGUGCUUGCCUAACAAGUGCAAGGCCCUGGGUUCAGUCCCCA
rnacentral:tRNA from 1 species